GACGAACGCUGGCGGCGUGCUUAACACAUGCAAGUCGAACGGAGAGGCCCUGCUUUUGUGGGGUGCUCGAGUGGCGAACGGGUGAGUAACACGUGAGUAACCUGCCCUUGACUUUGGGAUAACUUCAGGAAACUGGGGCUAAUACCGGAUAGGAGCUCCUGCUGCAUGGUGGGGGUUGGAAAGUUUCGGCGGUUGGGGAUGGACUCGCGGCUUAUCAGCUUGUUGGUGGGGUAGUGGCUUACCAAGGCUUUGACGGGUAGCCGGCCUGAGAGGGUGACCGGCCACAUUGGGACUGAGAUACGGCCCAGACUCCUACGGGAGGCAGCAGUGGGGAAUAUUGCACAAUGGGCGGAAGCCUGAUGCAGCAACGCCGCGUGCGGGAUGACGGCCUUCGGGUUGUAAACCGCUUUCGCCUGUGACGAAGCGUGGGUGACGGUAAUGGGUAAAGAAGCACCGGCUAACUACGUG
rnacentral:rRNA from 1 species